rnacentral:lncRNA from 1 species
GUUCGCUACUCAGUUUCAAAAUAACAAGCUUUUCAUGACACUUGUAUAAUAUUAUUUUGAUAGGGGAAUAAUAAAGGAACCAAAAGAGGAAAACAAAUAUAUAAUUGUCAAUUUGCUUGUUUUCGAGAUACUGGCCAUUGAAGAUUGUGCGGGAAAUUUUUCUCUCUUGAUUUUUUAUAAGCUUUGUAACAAAGAUUUUAUAAGACUGAUACAAAUAGCUUAUAAUUUUACAGGUAAAAGAUUUAAAAAAAGAAAAAUGGAGGUCAGUGGACAAUUUUAUUUAAGGCAUU